UAGAAGAAGUGAGAGAGCGAUCACAUCGAUCGCCACGGUAAUCAGCGACUCGGCAUUUGAUUUGUAACAGUGCCGGUAGCCGCCGGGAGAGGAAAUGGAAGGAAGGCUGUCCCUAUUGUCGAGAAACCGAAGCAAAAAAGAAUGGCAGGACAUGAUGGUGGAUCUGACACCAUCAGAAAUACAAGCUGGUUACUAAGAGCCUAAACUACAAUCAUCUGACUGCAGGAGUACUUUUACAGCUGCAACUUUGACAACUGGUUGACUAAUGUCUCUGUCAAGGGGGGAAAGAAUGUCAGCUCUGCCUGGUUUGGUUUGGGGCCUCACAGGCAUCCUGCCACAAAAAGAAGGGGCAAAGGAUGAAAGGGCAAUAAAGCCUGUGUGCACAUGAUAAGAAAUUGGAAAGAGGGAAUGAUGGGUGAUAAGGACCAGAGCAGCUGGAUCCUGUUGUACCACCAUCCCACGGCCAGGUACUCUGAGAAAUAUGUGGAUUACCUCUCAAACAUCUCAGAUUUCUCAAAACAUUUUGAUGAGCUCCGGAUUGCUGGAAACAGACUGGUCAUGGGCUGGGGCAAACCUACACCUUAUUUUCGUAUCCAGUGAGUGCAGUAACUUCAGAGCUGGUUUGACUUUAACAUCCUUAACAAAAGAACCCUUUGCUUUAACCAAAUGGACUUGAAGGCUUUUCUUUCCUAAGGGAUUGGAUUGGGGCAGGUUUGACAUAAACACAUGAAAAUUAUGCAUCAUGCCACUGCAAUACUAUGGCUUUGCAACUUUAUAUGAUGCUUUAUAUGACGGCAAAAAAAGACAAUAUGAAGAGACUGAAAGUAACAGACUUACUUGAAUUCACUAGCAAAUAAUUUGGCUAUAGAAAAAUACAUUCUUGUUUCAAUAGAUAAAAGAACAUUUCCUAUUUGAACCAACAAUGCACACAGGUACAUUUUCCACCAUUUUCAAGAUGCAAAAAGAAACAAUACUUUCUUACUUUUUAAAAAAACAAUCAAAUUUGUAUUUCCAAUACCAAGGAGAAGCAUCAUGUCGUAUCUUUGUUUCAAUCACAAAGUACGACUGCAAUUGAGUAUAAUGGAUUGACUUAUUACAUUCAUCACUGUACUUUAUUAAAUGGAACUUCAAAGUAUGUAUUAUGAAAUUUAGCAGCCUUUUCAGGCCAGAUUAUAUGCAUAUAUCUAUGCAUAUAUUUUUAUUGCUAACAGAGUCAUCAAACAACACAGAUGUUACUUAUAUUUAUGUAAAUUAUCCAAUUAUCCAAUACAAACAAUCAAAUGACUGAUGGGGAUUUUGUCAAUGUCAAUAGUAUUCAAGAGAUACUCUGCUUAGUUUUGCUAGAUGUUUACCAAUCUCCAAAAUCUAUACACAAAACCAAACCCCAUAAUCUGGGUAGAACAUAGUAAAAUAGGCUCCAGGAUGACACACAAAUGAAAUAAGUUUGUAUAUUUAUUCAAUAUACAGUAUAUUAUGAAUAUAUAUUGUGUGAAACUAUACCAAAAGAAGUUGUUUUAAAUUGGCAGAAGAAACAUCAAUUAGACUACCGUAUUUUCUGGCGUAUAAGACGACUUUUUAACACAUGAAAAUCUUCUCAAAAGUCGGGGGUCGUCUUAUACGCCGGGUGUAGCUCUCCUGUAACCAGGCAGACCAGCCCGAAAGGCUCUGACGAGCCUUAAAUGGCUCUGGCGAUCCCAGCUCUGGCGAUCCCAGCUCUGACAAUCCCAGCUGAGUUCCCUGCAACUCAGCUGGGAUCGCCAGA